CCUGACUUAGGGCUGAGCAGCUCAUCUGAAUCUCCUGGGCUUUCCCUUAUAAGAGCCUUGGGGCCCAGUACUCUGGAAGGGGUCUGGGAAAGGAUGCCCCCCUUUCUUCAGACCUUCAACUCAAACGCACCAUGGAGAUGGAUGUCUCAAGUGCACAGGGCACUUCGCCAACAGCAGCAUAAUUAAUACUCGGACUCCAAAUGCCCGCUCCUCUGAGGUCCCCACCCAUCAUCAGCCAGGUCUCCCAGCACUGCCUCAGGACCAGACAGGGGCAACCCUCCUGCCCUGGCAUCAUUCAGCACCUUCCAGAAAGGAAAAGGACCCUAACCAGAUGGGAACUCUGGGUGAAAGGGGAGGACACGCUCCCCCACCCCCGCCAGCAUGGAGAUACUGCCGUGAGGUCGUAGCUUAGAGCCAGAACCAGAGGCAAAAUCCCGAUGGGAGCCCUUCCCACACUCCCUAAACCAGCCACCACGUGGAGCUUCACAAACAGUAAUUAAACUUCCCAACUCCUGCUCUGUACAGUCCCACAGUCACAGCUGAGCACCUGGUUCUGCCAACCUUGGCUGACUGUCCCCUCCCCCAUCUCUCCUCCCAUCAGGGUCAUUCUGUUGCGUGUGGCUUGAGCUGUCCUCUGCUCUUUGACUUGGACCUCUGAAGAUGCUCCCUCCUUGGAGAGAAAACCUUUCUUGUGUUUUGACAUCAUCUAAUUCUCCCUACAACGGCCAGAGGUAGAUCAUUGCUGUCCCCAUUUUACAGCCUGGAAAACUAAGGCUGAGAAGGCUGAGCAACUUGCUCAAGGUCACUGAGAGCCAGCCAUGGGGCGGGGCCUGUACCCCACUGCCUCCAGAACCCUGUAAUUGUCAUCUUUCACUGGUGUUAUGUGGGAGGAAAAAGCCCCUGAAGGGACUGGUCAAGAGUUUGACGUCUAAGCUAUUUACAGGUUAAAAAAGAACAAGGACAGUUUGCGUUGAUGUAGCCCUGGAAAAUGAUAUCUCCCUUCGCGGUUGAGAACCCACGGCGGCAAAGCACCCGAUGGCUUGAUCCAGCUCUGGGACUUGGGGGCUUUGGGCUCUCAUUGGCUUGCUGGGUCCACGGGUGACGGCUGAGACACACAUGCGGCUCUGCCUAUCACUCAUCCAGGGUGUCCUCGGUCGAGCCUGCCUGGUGGUUGCUGACGUCACAGGGAGGUGGGUCGGUGGGUGGAGCCGCAGGACGGAGGGACGAGGUUAUGAUUAUGUUGGCGGGAAUCCAAACCAAGGGUGGCCUUGGCCGUGCACCCUGGGAGGGGACCGGACGUCCCUAAUGGAGCUAUCAUGAAACUGGCACUCGAAAUUUGAUCCUUCCCAGAAACUCCUUCUACAAAGCUGUCCUAAUAAUAAUAAUAGACAUUUUCUGGCCACAGAAUAAAUACCUUAGUGGAUAAAGUGUGUAAAACA
rnacentral:lncRNA from 1 species